GUCAGAAUGCUUCUGGGAGUCGGGGGGUGGGUGCCUUUCUGUUGCUAGCUUGUAGGAGAAGCUGGGCUGUAGGAAGUUUAUUUGCGGGGGGGUCUUAAAGACGCUGAAAGUACUGGCGGGCUUUGGUGGGGGUCUGGAAAAACCUCUCUGUACCUGUGACCGCGUUGCGUGGCGGGCGCUCCCCGGCCUCUCCUUUUUGACCGGUCCCGGGCGUUGCCCAGCCGCCAGUCCUCCUGCUCGGGUUUUGUAAGCAGGAGAGGGAUGCUUUUUACGUCUUCUUAAAGUACGGUUAAGUGCCCUUGCUUGAAGUAGUUGCUGGCAACAAGAACGUAGGGGUUACUCUUUGUUGGGCCUGAACUCGUGCUUUUUCUCUCAAAAGUUGAGCUUUUGAAAGGCAAAAAAGGCGUGGGGGAUGGGGGAGCUGUCGGUCUUAAGGAAGUUAAAGGUUAUUUCCUAAACAAAACAAGUCUCACUCCUAAAACCAGGGUAGUGGCUCAGUUGUGGCGGGAGAGCAGGGGCUGUAAAGUGUCCAAGUUUCUAGUCUCAUCUUUCAGUAGGAUGGGUACAAGCUUUCCCCUUGGGGCUCUGGGGGCUGGGAGGGUUGUAAAAGUGGGAGAAAGCAAAGUAUUUGGCGGGGUGCGGGCGGGUAGCUGAAUGUUGUUGUAAGUGGAAGAGGAAUGCUGUUGGCGUCUUUCUCUAAGCACGGUUAAGUGCUUUUUCUUGAAGUAGUUACUGGCAACAAGAACGUAAGGGUUACUCUUUGUUAGGCCUGAACUCGUGCUUUUUCUCAAAAGUUUAGCUUUUGAAAGGCAAAAGUGGGGGUGGGGGCGCUGCUGCUUUUAAGGAAGUUAAAGGUUAUUUCCUAAGAAAGCAAAACAAGCCCCACUUGUAAAACCCGGGUAGUGGCUCAGCUGGAGAGCAGGCGCUGUGAAGUGUACAAGUUUCUAGUCUCAUCUUUCAGUAGAAUGGGUACAAGCUUUCCCUCGGGGCUCUGGGGGUGGGAGGGUUGUAAAAGUGGGAGAAAGCAAAGUACGUGGGUGGGGGGUAGCUAAAUGUUGUUGUAAGCGGGAGAUGGAUGCUUUUGGCGUCUUUAAGCACGGUUAACUGCCCUUGAAGUAGUUGCUGGCAACAACGUAGGGGUUACUCUGCUGGGCCUGAACUUGUGCUGUUUCUCUCUCUCAAAAGUUAAGGUUUUUAAAAGGCAAAGGCGUGGGGAGAGGGGUAGGGGAGCUGCUACUUCUAAGGACGUUAAGGGUUACUUCAGAGCAAAACAAGCCCCACUUCUAAAACCAGGGCAGUGGCUCAAUUGUGGAAGGGAGAGCAGGGAAUGUGAAGUGUCCAAGCUUCUAGUCUCGUCUUUCAGUAGCGUGGGUACAAGUUUUCCAUUGGGGCUCUGGGGGCUAGGAGGGUGGUAAAAGUGGGAGAAACCAAAGUACUUGCGGGUAGCUAAAAACUCUGAAACCCACGCUGUGAGCGGUUCCUGCUUCUCUGAAAGGUCUGUUCUGCUUAAGGUUGUAUCAAGGUUAGUCUCUUGCUACCUACUUCUGUAGAGCAGUCUCUCGUGGCUCACCUGGGUUAGUGGCCAUGUUGCCUGUCUCCUAUUCUUCCUAACCUUGUGUGUUCUCCAGGUAGCUGAGUGAUCCAUCCGAAGUAAAAUAUUCCUCAGCUUGUCUGUAGGGGCUCCAAGUUUCAUGAAGUAAAAGCUAGUCUUGAAAACGGCCCAUUAGGGUCCUGGAUGACAGUCUCCGGGUCACUUAGACUCCGUUGUCCGCCUCCCCUCAUCUGUAUCAUCUUUGCCUUGGGUACUGGCUUCGGAGGGUGUUUUCCUGAAACUCUUACCUGAGAUCUACUUGGCUGACUCCUGUGUCCUUCAGAAGUACUUAAUUGCUCAAAUGUUAGUUGAUGAGUGUCACCGGUCUCAUUUUAAAUUGCAACUUCAACCCCUUGCAAACACUGCUUCUCAUUCCCGCGUUCCCUAACUUUAACUCUCAGGAAUAACCCUGACACCUGGAAGAUGCUCCUAGGGAUGACCCCACUCCCCACCCACAACUGUUAAUCAGGAAAUAACGGAUAUGAAAGUAGCUCUGCGAACUGAGGAGCCGUGGAGAAUGUACAAAACAGAUUCCUAAAGUAGUGCAUUCGUGUAACAAGAUUAAGAAAACGAAGGACCAACUUCAAGCUCUUGCAAGCUGGUAACCUUUACACUCGUGCAUAAAGCCUUGCUGGAGUUGACACUGAAAACUAAACAGUCGAACUUGAGUAAAACAUAUCCAAACUCCCA